rnacentral:rRNA from 1 species
GAUGAACGCUGGCGGCGUGCCUAAUACAUGCAAGUCGAGCGAACGGACGAGAAGCUUGCUUCUCUGAUGUUAGCGGCGGACGGGUGAGUAACACGUGGAUAACCUACCUAUAAGACUGGGAUAACUUCGGGAAACCGGAGCUAAUACCGGAUAAUAUUUUGAACCGCAUGGUUCAAAAGUGAAAGACGGUCUUGCUGUCACUUAUAGAUGGAUCCGCGCUGCAUUAGCUAGUUGGUAAGGUAACGGCUUACCAAGGCAACGAUGCAUAGCCGACCUGAGAGGGUGAUCGGCCACACCGGAACUUAGGCCCCGUCCAGGCCCCCACGGGAAGGAACAGGAGGGAAUCCUCCGCAAUGGGCCGAAGCCUUACGGAGCCACGCCGGCGUAGGUAUGGAGGUCUUCCGAUCGGAAAACCCCUGUAUUAGGGAAGAACAUUAUUUGAAGUAACCUGUCACAUCUUGACCGUUCCUAAUCAGAAAGGCACGGCUUACUUCGUU